rnacentral:rRNA from 1 species
GACAGAGGAUGCAAGCGUUAUCCGGAAUGAUUGGGCGUAAAGCGUCUGUAGGUGGCUUGGUAAGUCGGAUGUGAAAUCUCCAGGCUCAACCUGGAGGGGUCAUUCGAUACUGCCAUGACUAGAGGUCGGUAGGGGAGUGUGGAAUUCCUGGUGGAGCGGUGAAAUGCGCAGAUAUCAGGAGGAACACCCGUAGCGAAGGCGGCACUCUGGGCCGAUUCUGACACUGAGGAGCGAAAGCGUGGGGAGCGAACAGG